rnacentral:rRNA from 1 species
CCUACGGGGGGCAGCAGUGAGGAAUAUUGGUCAAUGGACGCGAGUCUGAACCAGCCAAGUAGCGUGAAGGAUGACGGCCCUAUGGGUUGUAAACUUCUUUUAUAUGGGAGUAAACUGUUCCACGUGUGGCUUUUUGUAUGUACCGUAUGAAUAAGGAUCGGCUAACUCCGUGCCAGCAGCCGCGGUAAUACGGAGGAUUCGAGCGUUAUCCGGAUUUAUUGGGUUUAAAGGGAGCGUAGGCGGAUUGUUAAGUCAGUUGUGAAAGUUUGGGGCUCAACCGUGAAAUUGCAUUUGAAACUGUCCGUCUUGAGUACAGUAGAGGUAGGCGGAAUGCGUGGUGUAGCGGUGAAAUGCUUAGAGAUCACGAAGAACUCCGAUUGCGAAGGCAGCUCACUGGACUACAACUGACGUUGAGGCGCGAAAGUGUGGGUAUCAAACAGGAUUAGAUACCCCGGUAGUC